rnacentral:lncRNA from 1 species
GAAGAACAUAAAGAUAUAAGAUUAACUCAACCGGACACAAAAGCAAAGCUGUUCACCCAAAACACGUUGUGGAAAGAAACAAAAACCCACAACCUACAAGCCAUGGCCACAUGUAAAAAAUGAUGAUUUCUAUUCCACUCUUAUUUCCCAUUAAAGACAUUCCAUGAGGCACCUGCCAUGUGCCGUGUACAAAUUUCCAUCACCCAGCAGGUUAUACAUAGACACCAAAAGCCAGGCGGGCACCAGCAUUAUUCUACUGAUCCU